rnacentral:sRNA from 1 species
UUGACGCUGCUGUUUUUUCGACCUAAAGUACAGGAAUAAGGGUGAGAGGGGAUUUCUCCCCCCUCUGAUUGACUGUUAAUAGGUCUGGAAACUUAUCAAUAACAGCACAACCAGUAUGAUGACGAACUUCAUCAUAACCCUUUCCUUAU